rnacentral:rRNA from 1 species
AUUGAACGCUGGCGGCAUGCCUUACACAUGCAAGUCGAACGGUAACGGGCCUUCGGGUGCCGACGAGUGGCGAACGGGUGAGUAAUGCAUCGGAACGUACCUUUCAGUGGGGGAUAACGUAGCGAAAGUUACGCUAAUACCGCAUAUUCUGUGAGCAGGAAAGCAGGGGAUCGCAAGACCUUGCGCUGAUUGAGCGGCCGAUGUCAGAUUAGCUAGUUGGUGAGGUAAAGGCUCACCAAGGCGACGAUCUGUAGCGGGUCUGAGAGGAUGAUCCGCCACACUGGAACUGAGACACGGUCCAGACUCCUACGGGAGGCAGCAGUGGGGAAUUUUGGACAAUGGGGGCAACCCUGAUCCAGCCAUGCCGCGUGAGUGAAGAAGGCCUUCGGGUUGUAAAGCUCUUUCGGCCGGGAAGAAAUCGUAUGGGUUAAUACCCUGUGCGGAUGACGGUACCGGCAUAAGAAGCACCGGCUAACUACGUGCCAGCAGCCGCCGCAGUAA